rnacentral:rRNA from 1 species
GACGAAGGGGGCAAGCGUUGUUCGGAAUUACUGGGCGUAAAGCGCGUGUAGGUGGUCUUUCGAGUCAGGCGUGAAAGCCUCGAGCUCAACUCGAGAAAUGCGCUUGAUACUGGAUGACUAGAGGACCGGAGAGGAUAGUGGAAUUCCCAGUGUAGUGGUGAAAUACGUAGAGAUUGGGAAGAACACCAGUGGCGAAGGCGGCUAUCUGGACGGUUUCUGACACUAAGACGCGAAAGCGUGGGGAGCAAACAGG